AUGAAUUCAAUUUUAGGAAUUAAUGACGAGCAACGCUAUGGAUACCGCUUGCCACCAAAUUCAUUGGAAACAAAGUUUACCAUAGGCUCCAAAAGGAGUGACAUAAUGGAAAUAAAUGUGAAAGUUCGGGGACUAGUUAGGGGGAAAAAAUUCCAGCUUCUACCUUCUCCCUCACAAGGAUACUUGGCCUUGAGCCACGAAUCAAUUCAUUGAACAAACUCAAAUGGGGAUGCGCUUAUUACUGAUGCAGCUGGUUCCCUGAGAAGACGAUCCCUUAUAAUUCAUUGAGGUAAAUUACUGUUACCAUGAAUUCAAUUUUGGAAAGGGUAAAGGUCCUUUUAUUUUAUUUUUUUUUGCCCUCUCAAUAAAGGAGAAGAGUUUUGUAUUGCAAAUGCAUAUAUACCGAUUAAGAAACUUCAAUCGCUUGUUACACAUGUGCUUAUGCUGGUUAUGAAAUACACAUAGUUAGAUGGGGUUAGAUUCUCUGAUGUCCGAUGAAUAUUUGUUUAAUUGCUUUUAUUUCAAAUGCAGAUACUUGGGCAAAUUCAGUAUGGUGUUCGAGGUUCUCUAAUUUGGAGAAAUUAACGUGCAUAAUCACUGCAUUAUUCGUGUUUGGAUGUCUACACUUCAGUCUUUUGGCAGUGAGAAGAUGAGUUAAUCUUGCACUCUCUGUAUUUCACUGUCAUGAAAUUUUGGUGAAAUUCAUUUCUUGUUUUUCUCUAUCUAUUAUUAUUCGUUUUUCUCUGAUAUAUUUGCAGAAAUCCCAUUAGUUUCUGUGGAUUUAUUUUUGAAUUGAUUUGUGAUGUUAGAAAGAUGAAUUAACCUUUUCAGUUAGACAUUUUACAACCAAUUAGAACAAGAUUCUUGGAACAUGUUUGAAAUAUUGUUUGUGGAUGACAUAAAAAUUAGAAAGUCAAGUGUAAGGGGUUACCAGCUAUACUUAUAGAGAAUUUUUAAUCAAAAGCUCUCUCCAUUUUGUCCUUAUUUCUUAACUUCGAAAAACAAUAAAUGAAAGAGAAAUAAGAGAACAUUGUAUUUGGUUGAUAAAAGAGAGCAUAUAUUAUUGCUUGUCAGUUUUAAUACAUUGUUAUCGAAUCUGCGGAUAAUUAAAAAUUAACAAACAUUGUAACUCAAGACCAUAAGGUGACUAUUUGUCACAUCAUUCUCUAUUUUGAUUAGAUUUAGUAUUUCUUGACUAGCUCUUUUAGCAGAGAGGUGAUUGUUUCGGAGGUUAGUGGUUUCUGGACACAGUAAUCAAGACCAGCUUCUGUGAAUGCUUGUUUCUCUGAGUCCAACCCCUGCGAGGUCACUCCUACAAUCAUGUUGUUGACACCCAUGGCUCGAAGCUCUCGUGUUGCCUAUUAAACAAAGAAUAGUGAAAACUACUUUUCAACAAUAAAGAUGAAUUAAUGAGAUACUGUUGCAUGUAAAUGAUUACCUU
rnacentral:lncRNA from 1 species